UUUGUUGAAAGAGAUCCUGACUCACUCUUCAUUUUCGUUCGCUAUUUAAAUGUGUUUAUAAAGCAAAACUUAUAUGGAUGAAAGAUUGAUGUAACAAUAAGCAAGAAAAACUGUGGCAGGACUGUAGGAUGAUUGUUAGUUUGGAUAUCAUAUUAUGUAUGCAUAAUAUAGGCUACAUGUGUUAAGUUCCUUUGAAAACCAUUGUUGUCUAGGGAUCAUUACAUCCAAAUGUUUAUGUCACCCCAACCACAGUAUAGAGAAUAUACAGUAGGAACACUUUCUGUGCAACUUACUGCUGUAUAUAUAAUUAUAUUACUGGGUGUAGUUUGCCAGCUCAGUGCACCUAUUGGUCAAAAAAUGGUAUUGUCUGACUGCCACUAUGGUAUUAACUUGCGGAAUAAGAUAUGCACGGCAAAAAAAUAUUUAAUGCAAUCUACUGUAUGUUCUCUAUAAAAUUAUACUACAUUUUCGUAUAACCGUGCCCCAAUUACAUUAUGUCUUCCUUAGGUCCUAAGUCGUGAAUGAAGUAUUAGUCCAAAUAAAUUACACCAGCUCAUUUUUUUUAUCAUUAUACCUUCUAAACAAUGAUAAUGGUUUUGAAUUUUUAAAGAAUAAAAUUUUCAGUGGUGUAGCCAGAGUGAUAAAAUGUUUAGUCAUUCUAUGUACGUUUUUAUAUUCUUUUACUGUGAAAAUAAUAGGCAUUUUAACUUGUGAGUCUUAAAGUAUCCCUUCCACCAAAAAAAUUUUUUAGAAAUAUCAAAUCUGUCAAUGAUUUUAAACCUCGUUGAGAAAAAAUUUUGAAUUUGGUAAAAUCGUUUGAUUUUUGUAAAACGUUAAAUUCACUAAAAUCGCAUAUUCUUGUGAACCAUGUCCGUGAUAAUGAGGAGUCUGAAACUAGCUAAUUUUCUGUUACACGAGUCGUGUAUUCAAUUGCUCUCAAGUCAAUGCAAGCUGAGGCACAACUUAAGUUUAUAAGCGCCUAAAAGCAUUGCCUUUGCACUAGUAAAAGCAGAAAAAAAGGAAAAUAGUUGCGUUGAAGACAAUUCUACGAAUGAGUCAAGCCUUUGCUCUCAUAUGAGUCUUCACACUAUGUCUUAUAAUGAUAAAAGGCCCGAGGCCAAGCGAAGACGGGAUAUUUGGUUUUAAAGCAAAGCGCGUAUUUGAGCCUUUCAGUGCUUUAACACUUUGUUCAGCUCAAUUAAAAUCAGAGGAUUUGGAACGUCAGUUUAGUAGUUUGCCGAAAUAAACGAACGCUAUUUUUCCAGGCCUUAAAAAAGAUGAAAUUGGAAUUUGUGUCUUUCCGACCAUCCAUGCUUUGGAGUCAAAAUCCGAAUCAUUAUCGCUCAAGUUUCAUUGCUUUCCGAGUUUUCUGUCACGUAUCCUGCAAUAAAGUUUUUGUCAGAAUUAUCUGACUGAACACUCAAUUCUGAUUUUGAUUCAUCGCUUUCUUCGCAAGACAUAAUUUUCUCGAAUAUUAUAAUUAAACAGCGUGUAAGAAUGUAUAUGUUUAAUAUAAGCUAAAUAUGCCCGAAUGCUGACUAUAUUGGCUGACGUCAAAAUACUUUCUAGUGCCAGUUUCUUUUGUAUUAUAGAAAACGACAGCGUUGGGACAAAAAUGCACAACUUCAAGAUUCUAUAAAAGCUUCUUCAUUUGACCAAAUUUUUGAAUUUUUUCUCCGAAAGGCUUAAAAUUAUAGACAGAUUUCAUAUUGCUAAAAAAAGUUUGGUGGCAAUAAUGAAAAAAUGUCUGAGUGAGGCAGUGUCUGUCUGUCCGUUGUGAUUUCUUCGGCUGUGUAUUUUUCAUACUCGCAAAUGCUAACGAUAACGAUUAGUAUAGUCAUCGCUUGGAACUUGAUAGCUAAACUGUGCAGUUUGUGCUUGUAUUUUGUUUGGUAUUUUAUUCGUAUAUCACGUUGUUUAUCUCUCACCCUGUGUUCUGUUUUUUGGUGAGGAAAAUGUAAAGCGGACAGGAUAUAGUUUUCUUUAUAUUUAUUUAAAUUAGUAAUGACGACGAUUUUGAUUUAACAGACGAAGAAUUUAAAUAUAUUAUAGCCCUAUGGAAAAUAACUACAUCAGCAAUGAUAUAUGUAACAUGUGCAAUCUCUCCUCAUUUUAACAAUAAACAUAAAAAUUUAAA